GGUUAAGCGACUAAGCGUACACGGUGGAUGCCCUGGCAGUCAGAGGCGAUGAAGGGCGUGCUAAUCUGCGAUAAGCGCCGGUAAGGUGAUAUGAACCGUUAUAACCGGCGAUACCCGAAUGGGGAAACCCAGUGUGAUUCGUCACACUAUCAUUAACUGAAUCCAUAGGUUAAUGAGGCGAACCGGGGGAACUGAAACAUCUAAGUACCCCGAGGAAAAGAAAUCAACCGAGAUUCCCCCAGUAGCGGCGAGCGAACGGGGAGGAGCCCAGAGCCUGAAUCAGCAUGUGUGUUAGUGGAAGCGUCUGGAAAGGCGCGCGAUACAGGGUGACAGCCCCGUACACAAAAGCGCAUGUGCUGUGAGCUCGAUGAGUAGGGCGGGACACGUGGUAUCCUGUCUGAAUAUGGGGGGACCAUCCUCCAAGGCUAAAUACUCCUGACUGACCGAUAGUGAACCAGUACCGUGAGGGAAAGGCGAAAAGAACCCCGGCGAGGGGAGUGAAAAAGAACCUGAAACCGUGUACGUACAAGCAGUGGGAGCACCCUUCGGGGUGUGACUGCGUACCUUUUGUAUAAUGGGUCAGCGACUUAUAUUCUGUAGCAAGGUUAACCGAAUAGGGGAGCCGGAGGGAAACCGAGUCUUAAUUGGGCGUUAAGUUGCAGGGUAUAGACCCGAAACCCGGUGAUCUAGCCAUGGGCAGGUUGAAGGUUGGGUAACACUAACUGGAGGACCGAACCGACUAAUGUUGAAAAAUUAGCGGAUGACCUGUGGCUGGGGGUGAAAGGCCAAUCAAACCGGGAGAUAGCUGGUUCUCCCCGAAAGCUAUUUAGGUAGCGCCUCGUGAAUUCAUCUCCGGGGGUAGAGCACUGUUUCGGCUAGGGGGCCAUCCCGGCUUACCAACCCGAUGCAAACUGCGAAUACCGGAGAAUGUUAUCACGGGAGACACACGGCGGGUGCUAACGUCCGUCGUGAAGAGGGAAACAACCCAGACCGCCAGCUAAGGUCCCAAAGUCAUGGUUAAGUGGGAAACGAUGUGGGAAGGCCCAGACAGCCAGGAUGUUGGCUUAGAAGCAGCCAUCAUUUAAAGAAAGCGUAAUAGCUCACUGGUCGAGUCGGCCUGCGCGGAAGAUGUAACGGGGCUAAACCAUGCACCGAAGCUGCGGCAGCGAACGUAUCACCCAAGACAACUUUACGGAGUUGACGAUUGACGGAGCGAAGCGACGUCAAAGCGUUCAUUAAAGUCGAGUUGGCUUAGGGAUACGUUCGUUGGGUAGGGGAGCGUUCUGUAAGCCUGUGAAGGUGUGUCGUGAGGCAUGCUGGAGGUAUCAGAAGUGCGAAUGCUGACAUAAGUAACGAUAAAGCGGGUGAAAAGCCCGCUCGCCGGAAGACCAAGGGUUCCUGUCCAACGUUAAUCGGGGCAGGGUGAGUCGACCCCUAAGGCGAGGCCGAAAGGCGUAGUCGAUGGGAAACGGGUUAAUAUUCCCGUACUUGGUGUUACUGCGAAGGGGGGACGGAGAAGGCUAUGUUGGCCGGGCGACGGUUGUCCCGGUUUAAGCGUGUAGGUGUGUGUUCCAGGUAAAUCCGGUUCACUUUAACACUGAGGCGUGACGACGAGGCACUACGGUGCUGAAGCAACAAAUGCCCUGCUUCCAGGAAAAGCCUCUAAGCAUCAGGUAACAUCAAAUCGUACCCCAAACCGACACAGGUGGUCAGGUAGAGAAUACCAAGGCGCUUGAGAGAACUCGGGUGAAGGAACUAGGCAAAAUGGUGCCGUAACUUCGGGAGAAGGCACGCUGACACGUAGGUGAAGUGAUUUACUCAUGGAGCUGAAGUCAGUCGAAGAUACCAGCUGGCUGCAACUGUUUAUUAAAAACACAGCACUGUGCAAACACGAAAGUGGACGUAUACGGUGUGACGCCUGCCCGGUGCCGGAAGGUUAAUUGAUGGGGUCAGCGCAAGCGAAGCUCCUGAUCGAAGCCCCGGUAAACGGCGGCCGUAACUAUAACGGUCCUAAGGUAGCGAAAUUCCUUGUCGGGUAAGUUCCGACCUGCACGAAUGGCGUAAUGAUGGCCAGGCUGUCUCCACCCGAGACUCAGUGAAAUUGAACUCGCUGUGAAGAUGCAGUGUACCCGCGGCAAGACGGAAAGACCCCGUGAACCUUUACUAUAGCUUGACACUGAACAUUGAGCCUUGAUGUGUAGGAUAGGUGGGAGGCUUUGAAGUGUGGACGCCAGUCUGCAUGGAGCCGACCUUGAAAUACCACCCUUUAAUGUUUGAUGUUCUAACGUGGACCCGUAAUCCGGGUUGCGGACAGUGUCUGGUGGGUAGUUUGACUGGGGCGGUCUCCUCCUAAAGAGUAACGGAGGAGCACGAAGGUUGGCUAAUCCUGGUCGGACAUCAGGAGGUUAGUGCAAUGGCAUAAGCCAGCUUGACUGCGAGCGUGACGGCGCGAGCAGGUGCGAAAGCAGGUCAUAGUGAUCCGGUGGUUCUGAAUGGAAGGGCCAUCGCUCAACGGAUAAAAGGUACUCCGGGGAUAACAGGCUGAUACCGCCCAAGAGUUCAUAUCGACGGCGGUGUUUGGCACCUCGAUGUCGGCUCAUCACAUCCUGGGGCUGAAGUAGGUCCCAAGGGUAUGGCUGUUCGCCAUUUAAAGUGGUACGCGAGCUGGGUUUAGAACGUCGUGAGACAGUUCGGUCCCUAUCUGCCGUGGGCGCUGGAGAACUGAGGGGGGCUGCUCCUAGUACGAGAGGACCGGAGUGGACGCAUCACUGGUGUUCGGGUUGUCAUGCCAAUGGCACUGCCCGGUAGCUAAAUGCGGAAGAGAUAAGUGCUGAAAGCAUCUAAGCACGAAACUUGCCCCGAGAUGAGUUCUCCCUGAGACUUAGAGUCUCCUGAAGGAACGUUGAAGACGACGACGUUGAUAGGCCGGGUGUGUAAGCGCAGCGAUGCGUUGAGCUAACCGGUACUAAUGAACCGUGAGGCUUAACCUU
rnacentral:rRNA from 1 species